ensembl:lncRNA
GGUGAUCCUUAUUGCCGUUUUCCAGUGAUGACCCCCUUGUGUGCAUAGUUUCAUUCCAAGUAGGUAUUUCAUUCGCUUAUUUAGGCUGGAGGCUGAGUCCAAAAAAUGUACCAUUACUGCGGAAUCAAUUGACGAGCCUCUUUGGCUGCAGUGAACUUGUCUUCAUGAGGGCUCAAAACCUCCAUCGAUGACGACUGCUGUUUUGCCAGGGAGCCAUGAACCUGAACCUGAACUCGAAGGUUGUCGAGGGCGAGUGGUCAGGACGAUAGACUAGAAUCCAUUGGGGUCUCCCCGCGCAAUUCCAAAUUGUCUGUUCUUUAGAUAGGUCUCGUUUUUCCCAUCCCAUGUUUGAACAUAAGCAAGCGAUGGUGGUAUAGUGGUGAGCAUAGCUGCCUUCCCAGCAGUUGACCUGGGUUUGAUUCCCGGCCAUCGCAGGUGUUUUCCUCUGUAUCACUUACACUAUCUUAAAGUGUUUAGGUUCAAACCGCCAGUCGGUCUUUCGUCAGGGACAGGUUUGCCAAUACCAAUGGGGGAAAGCCUACCCGUGUCCGAAGCCUGGUGAUCCUUAUUGCCGUUUUCCAGUGAUGACCCCCUUGUGUGCAUAGUUUCAUUCCAAGUAGGUAUUUCAUUCGCUUAUUUAGGCUGGAGGCUGAGUCCAAAAAAUGUACCAUUACCGCUGAAUCAAUUGACGAGUCGCUUUGGCUGCAGCGAACUUGUCUUCAUGAGGGCUCAAAACCUCCAUCGAUGACGACUGCUGUUUUGCCAGGGAGCCAUGAACCUGAACCUGAACUCGAAGGUUGUCGUGGGCGAGUGGUCAGGGCGAUAGACUAGAAUCC